GGGGAUAUAGCUCAGCUGGUAGAGUGCUUGCCUUCCAUGUACAAGGCCUUGGGUUCAAUCCCCAGCACCCCCC
rnacentral:tRNA from 1 species